GGACGAACGCUGGCGGCGUGCCUAAUACAUGCAAGUUGAGCGAUGAAGAUUGGUGCUUGCACCAAUUUGAAGAGCAGCGAACGGGUGAGUAACGCGUGGGGAAUCUGCCUUUGAGCGGGGGACAACAUUUGGAAACGAAUGCUAAUACCGCAUAACAACUUUAAACAUAAGUUUUAAGUUUGAAAGAUGCAAUUGCAUCACUCAAAGAUGAUCCCGCGUUGUAUUAGCUAGUUGGUGAGGUAAAGGCUCACCAAGGCGAUGAUACAUAGCCGACCUGAGAGGGUGAUCGGCCACAUUGGGACGGAGACACGGCCCAAACUCCUACGGGAGGCAGCAGUAGGGAAUCUUCGGCAAUGGACGAAAGUCUGACCGAGCAACGCCGCGUGAGUGAAGAAGGUUGUCGGAUCGUAAAACUCUGUUGGUAGAGAAGAACGUUGGUGAGAGUGGAAAGCUCAUCAAGUGACGGUAACUACCCAGAAAGGGACGGCUAACUACGUG
rnacentral:rRNA from 1 species